rnacentral:rRNA from 1 species
GACGUAGGGCGCGAGCGUUGUCCGGAAUUAUUGGGCGUAAAGAGCUCGUAGGCGGCCUGUUGCGUCCGCUGUGAAAGCCCGGGGCUUAACCCCGGGUCUGCAGUGGAUACGGGCAGGCUAGAGGUAGGUAGGGGAGAAUGGAAUUCCCGGUGUAGCGGUGAAAUGCGCAGAUAGUCGGGAGGAACACCGGUGGCGAAGGCGGUUCUCUGGGCCUUACCUGACGCUGAGGAGCGAAAGCGUGGGAGCGAACAGG